CGAAAAAAAUGUCCAAAAAAUGGGGGUAGGGUCGGCCUAUUCCAGGAGUUCUAGAGAAAAAUAAUGAGGGGUGUCACGGGGUAUGACUAUAUAGGUCUUGUAGAAGAGGAACAGGCGUUUCUUUUGCGCUAGGUAUCGAAGGGCGCUAUGUUCAAAAAUCUGAAACUAGAGCUCAAAAUUUAAAAAAAAUGUCAAAAAAUUAGGGGGGUCGGCCUAUUCCAGGGCUUCUAGAGAAAAAUAAUGAGGGGUGUCACGGAGAAUGACUAUAUAGGUCUUGUAGAGGAGAAACAGGCGCUUCUUUUGCACUAUGUAUCGAAGGGCGCUAUGUUCAAAAAUCUGAAACUAGAGCUCAAAAUUCGAAAAAAAAUGUCCAAAAAAUGGGGGUAGGGUCGGCCUAUUCCAGGAGUUCUAGAGAAAAAUAAUGAGAGGUGUCACGGGGUAUGACUAUAUAGGUCUUGUAGAAGAGAAACAGGCGCUUCUUUUGCGCUAGGUAUCGAAGGGCGCUAUGUUCAAAAAUCUGAACUAGAGCUCAAAAUUCGAAAAAAAUAUCCAAAAAAUGGGGGUAGGGUUGGCCUAUUCCAGGAGUUCUAGAGAAAAAUAAAAAGGGGUGUCACGGGGUAUGACUAUAUAGGUCUUGUAGAAGAGAAACAGGCGCUUCUUUUGCGCUAGGUAUCGAAGGGCGCUAUGUUCAAAUAUCUGAAACUAGAGCUCAAAAUUCGAAAAAAAUGUCAAAAAAUUAGGGGGGUCGGCCUAUUCCAGGAGUUCUAGAGAAAAAUAAUGAGGGGUGUCACGGAGAAUGACUAUAUAGGUCUUGUAGAAGAGACACAGGCGCUUCUUUUGCGCUAGGUAUCGAAGGGCGCUAUGUUCAAAAAUCUGAAACUAGAGCUCAAAAUUCGAAAAAAAUGUCCAAAAAAUGGGGGUGGGGUCGGCCUAUUCCAGGAGUUCUAGAGAAAAAUAAUGAGGGGUGUCACGGGGUAUGACUAUAUAGGUCUUGUAGAGGAGAAACAGGCGCUUCUUUAGCGCUAGGUAUCGAAGGGCGCUAUGUUCAAAAAUCUGAAACUAGAGCUCAAGAUUCGAAAAAAAUGUCAAAAAAUUUGGGGGGUCGGCCUAUUCCAGGGCUUCUAGAGAAAAAUAAUGAGGGGUGUCACGGAGAAUGACUAUAUAUGUCUUAUAGAAGAGAAACAGGCGCUUCUUUUGCGCUAGGUAUCGAAGGGCGCUAUGUUCAAAAAUCUGAAACUAGAGCUCAAAAUUUGAAAAAAUGUCAAAAAAUUAGGGGGGUCGGCCUAUUCUAGGGCUUCUAGAGAAAAAUAAUGAGGGGUGUCACGGGGAAUGACUAUAUAGGUCUUGUAGAGGAGAAACAGGCGCUUCUUUUGCGCUAGGUAUCGAAGGGCGCUAUGUUCAAAAAUCUGAAACUAGAGCUCAAAAUUUGAAAAAAAUGUCAAAAAAUUUUGGGGGUCGGCCUAUUCUAAGACUUCUAGAGAAAAAUAAUGAGGGGUAUCACGGGGUAUGACCAUAUAGGUCUUGUAGAAAAGAAACAGGCGCUUCUUUUGCACUAGGUAUCGAAGGGCGCUAUGUUCAAAAAUCUGAAACUAGAGCUCAAGAUUCGAAAAAAAUAUCAAAAAAAUGGGGUAGGGUCGGCCUAUUCCAGGAGUUCUAGAGAAAAAUAAUGAGGGGUGUCACGGGGUAUGACUAUAUAGGUCUUGUAGAAGAGAAACAGGCGCUUCUUUUGCGCUAGGUAUCCAAGGGCGCUAUGUUCAAAAAUCUGAAACUAGAGCUCAAAAAUCGAAAAAAAUGUCAAAAAAUUAGGGGGUCGGCCUAUUCCAGGGCUUCUAGAGAAAAAUAAUGAGGGGUGUCACGGAGAAUGACUAUAUAGGUCUUGUAGAAGAGAAACAGGCGCUUCUUUUGCGCUGGGUAUCGAAGGGCGCCAUGUUCAAAAAUCUGAAACUAGAACUCAAAAUUUGAAAAAAAUGUCAAAAAAUUAGGGGGUCGGCCUAUUCUAGGACUUCUAGAGAAAAAUAAUGAGGGGUGUCACGAGGAAUGACUAUAUAGGUCUUGUAGAGGAGAAACAGGCGCUUCUUUUGCGCUAGGUAUCGAAGGGCGCUAUGUUCAAAAAUCUGAAACUAGAGCUCAAAAUUUGAAAAAAAUGUCAAAAAAUUAGGGGGGUCGGCCUAUUCUAGGACUUCUAGAGAAAAAUAAUGAGGGGUGUCACGG
rnacentral:lncRNA from 1 species